CAAACACCAAACAUGAUCAACAACUGUUUUUCACUAGAACUGAACCUUCAACCAACAAAAAUGACUUUCAUCACCGUAUUGAUCUGGACGCUGGCAGUAUUAUGUCGAGAAUCUGUUGGUCAGGUGACAGUGACUCAAACUCCCUCAGAGCGGCUCUAUGAACCUGGACAAUCAGUCACUAUAACCUGUAAAACUAGCAGUGAUCCACACUGCUGUUAUGGUGAUGGAAAACCCGCUCUGAGCUGGUACUUACAGAAACCUGGAGAAUCUCCUAAACUCCUGAUUUAUUACACAAACCGCCUCCAGUCAGGAACUCCAUCUAGAUUCAGUGGCAGUGGAUCUAACAGUGAUUUCACUCUGAGCAUCAGUGGAGUCCAGACUGAAGAUGCUGGACAUUAUUACUGUCAGAGUUUCCACGUCAUCAACAGUAAAUAUGUGUUCACACAGUGAUAAAGAGUCGUACAAAAACCUCCGUCAGUCAGAGUCACAGUGACUGAACUGAAACUGCAGCUGCUCAAACACUUUCACACACACACACACACACACAC